UGGAUAUUAAGGACAGAAAAGUGAAGGC
rnacentral:piRNA from 1 species